AUUCCAGCUCCAAUAGCGUAUAUUAAAGUUGUUGCAGUUAAAACGCUCGUAGUCGGAUUUCGGGGCGGGCCGACCGGUCUGCCGAUGGGUAUGCACUGGCCGGCGCGUCCUUCCACCCGGAGACCGCGCCUACUCUUAACUGAGCGGGCGCGGGAGACGGGUCUUUUACUUUGAAAAAAUCAGAGUGUUUCAAGCAGGCAGUCGCUCUUGCAUGGAUUAGCAUGGGAUAAUGAAAUAGGACUCUGGUGCUAUUUUGUUGGUUUCGAACAUCGGAGUAAUGAUUAACAGGGACAGUCAGGGGCACUCGUAUUCCGCCGACAGAGGUGAAAUUCUUGGACCGUUUGAAGACGAACUAAGGCGAAAGCAUUUGCCAAGAGUGUUUUCAUCA
rnacentral:rRNA from 1 species